UGGGGAAUAUUGGGCAAUGGGGGGAAUCCUGACCCAGCGACGCCGCGUGAACGAUGAAGGCCUUAGGGUUGUAAAGUUCUUUUAUGUGGGAAGAAGGAAGUGACGGUACCACAUGAAUAAGCCCCGGCUAACUACGUGCCAGCAGCCGCGGUAAUACGUAGGGGGCGAGCGUUGUCCGGAAUUACUGGGCGUAAAGGGCACGCAGGCUGUGAUUCAAGUCAGCUGUAAAAGGAUGCGGCUUAACCGUGUUUAGCAGUUGAAACUGGAUGACUGGAGUGCUGGAGAGGCAAGUGGAAUUCCCAGUGUAGCGGUGAAAUGCGUAGAUAUUGGGAAGAACAUCGGUGGCGAAGGCGACUUGCUGGCCAGUAACUGACGCUGAGGUGCGAAAGCCAGGGUAGCAAACGGGAUUAGAUACCCCGGUAGUCCUGGCUGUAAACGAUGAAUGCUAGGUGUGCGAGCAGAGAUGUUGGUGUGCCGCAGUUAACGCGAUAAGCAUUCCGCCUGGGGAGUACGGUCGCAAGAUUG
rnacentral:rRNA from 1 species